GCGGCGGUGCGACAGAGCGGGGCUGCGACAGCGCGACAGCGCUACAGCCUGAGCCGCGACAGUGCGACAGUGUGACAGUGCAUAUUUGCAGUAGACUGAGUUGCAACAGCGCGACACCGUGCCAGUGUGACAGCCUGAGCUGCGACAGUGCGACACUGCAACAGUGAGCUGCAACAGUGAGACAGCAUAGCAGUGCAAUGCUGCGGCAGCCUGAGCUGGAAUAGUGCAGCUGUGUGACAGAGCAACAGUGCAACAGUGUGAGCUGCAGCAGAGCUACCUCUGCGCUGCAACGGUGAGGCAGUGCAACAGCACAAUAGUGUGCAAUGCAACACUGCAGCACUGCAACAACGCAGUAGUGAAACAGCCUGUUCUGUAACAGUGCAACACUGCAAGAGUGCAAGAGCCGCCACUACAACUGCGCAACAGUGCAACAGCACAACUGUCUGCAAGAGCUCAUGUUGCAACAGUGCAACGCUGCAGCAGCGCAAACAUCUGGUGCUGCAACCGUGCAUCCAGCAGUGCUGUAUGUAGCACUGCAACACACAGCAUCACAUCACUGCUGCAACACUGCAACACCACAACGCUCAGUGCAUGCAGCGCAGCGACGCUGAACCUGCGGCACUCCGUUCUGCAACCAUGCACCCAGCAUUGCAGCUCUGUGCCCAGUACUGCAACACUGCUCUCGCUUUGCCCACUGCACUGCUCUGACAUCAUCUCACAUUGCUCUGACGUCAUCACACACUGCCGGGAUGUCUUCACACGGCACUGCUGUGGUGUCAUUCCACACUGCUGGGUCACCACACACCGUUCUGACGUCAUCCUACAUGGCUGUGAUGCAAACCCGCACCACUCUGAUGUCAUUCCGCACCGCUCCGAUGUCACUGCGCACUGCUGAUGUCAUCCCACGCCACUACAGUGUGACCUCACAUCGCCGUGACGUCACCUCACAUCAUCCCACACUGAGGACGUCACCCACACCGGUCCAAUGGCAUCCCACACCACUCUGAUGUCAUCCCACAUCAUUGUCAUGCCACCUCUGACGUCAUCGCACAUCACCUCGCGCGCGCUCUCCCGCCCGGCCGCCCGCUGGCCCCCCCAGGGCCUUCUCCG
rnacentral:lncRNA from 1 species